UCUAAAUCCCUUCCCACUCGAUUCUCUUUUGCAGCCUCAUAUGAUCCCUAGCCUCCGCCAUCUAAUUCCACCCUAGUCCACCUCAAUCCAUGCCUAAUCCAUGGCCUAUCAUGGAUAUUUGAGGUAUGUAUCAACCUCCUAUAGCUCCUGGGUGUUUGUUUCCGUAAUUUCGUGGAAAAACUCAAAGAGGUCUGGUCCAGUCCUUGCUUGACUUCAAUCUCUGGUCCUUUUACGGUCAUCCAUGGAUG
rnacentral:lncRNA from 1 species